ensembl:lncRNA
CGGGAAGAGAAAGAAAUGCAAGGAUGUUCUCCAGUUGCAAUCCAACAUAGCUAGCUAAUUUAUAUGAAAUUUCAUUUUGGAGAAGGAACGUAGACCGGAGGCGGACUGCAGACUCCUGCCAGACCUGUUGUAGUAGGAGCAAGGGGGAGGGCAGUGGCAGAGGGCGGUGGCGGACGCCGCCUGGAAGAAGCAUAUCAUCGCGGAAUAGCUGCAGUUGGAGAGGGGGUGGGAGGCUGUUUGCUGUCCUGUACAGGGAGAAGUCCCAGCGUGUUUGGGAGAAGUGGGAGGCAGAGUAGGAGAGGAGAGCCAGGGAGAGGCUCAUUCAGGAGGCUCUUGCAGAUGGAGCUCAAGAUGCAGGAGAACCGUCAGGCUCAGGAUGAGUCUCUGAGGAGGCGGGGGGAGGGCUGAUCCAGGAGCUGGAGAGGCAGACCAGACGCCGAGAGGGUGGAGGAAGAGGGCCAAAGGACGGCGAACAGGAACAGCAUGUGUUGACUGGGGUGAAGGCGAGGGAUGCCCAAAGUCUGCAGGAGGAUGAGCAGAGGCUGGAGACUCAUAGGAUGGCCCAGCAGAGCUACCAGGACAAGGUACUGAUCCAGGGUCCAGUUCAUUAGGGCAAGCAAAGCCAACAUUUUUACCUGGUAGCUAAACAGAUGACAAUCAAUUUGGCAAAUAUACACACCCCUCUGUAUGUAUUUGGAGAUAAAAAUGGCUAAUUUCUAAAUAGUAAAUCAGAUAUGCAUGAAAAUACCUUAAAAUAAAAUGUGACAUUCUGUACUGUUGUCUUAUGACACAUUUGAUCUUAAAUCCAAAAUGCUGGAGUAUAGAGCCACAUCUAGCAUCACUGUCCAAAUGCAUACAGAGUGGGAUGUAAGCCUAUUGCAGUUGAUUUGCAUUGCUAUUUCUUACCAUUUUUUUUUUGUUAAUUGCUAAAGCAAUUGAUUUGUUUUUGUCCCC